CUAGCACCGGGGGCUCGAGGCCAAACUGGCAGGAGACACAGCGUUUUGGGGGCAAUGAAAAAUAAUUUCCUCCCGAAAAUGGGCCCCAGGGGAACCGGCUUGGCCCAAAGCAGAGCAGUGUGAGCCAUGCAGCAGGAAUUCCAAGGCAGGGUGACUGAGAACGUCAGAGGGAAAUGUCAAAGACAGACGGUGGCGUCAGGCUGCUGUACCCUGGAUCUGUUUACUCAAUGCCUGAUUAAACUGCACCAUGAAGGAAUUCAACGACCAGAGAGCAGCUGGCAGCACUCAUCCCGCUGUAGUUUCCACCAAAUCCCAAACUGCUGUGGAAGCGAGGCUAUACCACCUGUUCACCUGUCGCUGACUCACUGCGGCUCUAACUAACCUCUCCCACAGAGCGGGCGUGCCAGUGGGUGAGAAAAUAAAAGAGGAGGCAUACUGCGGUCAACAAAGCGUCCUUCUGCACCUCCUCCCGUGGGCUGAUUAAAGAGACGGCUUGUGCUAAUGGCUGCCUCACUCUCAGACCACAGGGGAGGACACAGAUAACUCAAAGAGGAGCAGAGAAGAACAAGUCCUCCCUCAUAAACAUAUCUAUAGGGCUUAAUUUGGGUUUAGGGUUCCUGUCAUAUGUAGUUUUACUGGAUUUGAAUCAUAUGGAGCUGCUAAUCCUUUUUAGUCGACUCUACAGUUCUUCUUAUGAUUUUGACCUCAUGCUGCAGCUCUAUGACAAAAAUAAAACUGACA